GCCUCCGCGCCGCUCUGUGCUUAGGUGGCCGCGAGGCCGCCUCGACCCAGGGGAGCAGGAAGGAAGCCCGGGAGCGCCCUGCACCUGUGCCUGCCUCUGCGCACCUCCCCAAGAGCCAGGGCCAACGAGGGGUCCCCUCACCCUCAAAUCUACCUCCUCAGAGAGGCUGGUCCUCCCGGGCCUGCCGCGAUCCCUCGGGGUGGUCUCGAAAACCUGAUGUCUUAUAUCCAGCUGCUCUUAAGAAAGAGUCUUUCUGGAGCAGACAGCGAGGGGAGCUGCACUCAGCCACUGGAAUGCAGGUGACAGCUGAUGGGCACAGGACCUCAGGUGCAGCCUUAAGUAUGUUCUGUUCCAUUUGCAGAAAGUUCAGAAAGCCUCAGCCUUUCCUCAGAAAACCUGGAAGAUGCAAUGCCCUGGCUGAUUUGGACUUGUAUGCCUUACCUGUGAGCAAGUCAUCUCCUGGGAACACCUCUAAUUUUUAAGAUUCCAAUGAUGCCACCACCUGACAUGUUUUUAACCACACAGUCCCAGGAUCCAGGCCAUGGGAUGCUUGCUAAUGGGGCCUUGGGGAGCUGAAUUUAGAGGCUGAGUAUCCUCUGAUGGGGUCAGGGAGGAAAGGAUUUGGUUGCACCUCCAGCUUGCACAGGGCUCCCGACCAGCCCGGCCCAGCCUCCUCUGUACUAUGCUCUAGCUUAUGAGGCCUCCUGGUUCCACCCACCACCUGGCAGGGCCAACCUCUUUGUUCUCCUUGCCUCGUGGGGAUAAGGAGAACCUCACUAAGUCAUCCAGUUCGAGGAGACCCAGAUGUGGAGUCAGCCCCCAUUCUACUCUGCCACCCCACCCUCCCCACCUGGGGGAGUGACAAUCUCUGGGACCUGAACUCGGUGACUCCACCUAACCCCAAACUUCAAGAACAUCGGUGGCUGAGAGCCCAGGAUCUCCUUCCCACAAAGCCACAUGUUCUACUAGCCAGACUUGGGGUCUGAGGUUUGAGAGACAGUCGCUCUGCCCUCUCAGGUCACCACUCCAACUUUCCUCCAGCCGUCCCUUUUUCCUACCCACGGCCCUGUGCUUAUUCAGGCCCAAAGCCAGGGAGACCACAGGUCAGGAUCUCACAAGUAUUGCAAUCCUAGUGCAUUCUUGUCCUAUGUAAAAUUUUCGAUCUUUUCCUAAAACCGAUUUAUUUUCCGUUUUAUUAUCCUGAAAUGUAAUUGGUCUUCUCCUCUUUCAAGUAUAGCUAUUCACUAGCCCAUACUUAUAAACUUGUACCCUUCAGAAAGGAUUUCUUGUUCUCUUUCUUGUAUUUUCUCAUUUUACCUUGAAAGUGCAGCCUUAUCUUCUGUAUUCCCACAGGCAGUGCUGAGAACACCCAAUAAGGUGCACCCAACAGAAACAUUUUAUGCUGUUUGUCAGUUGCUUGUUUGGGGAGAAGGGGCCACAGAUGGGUAAAUUUUCUUGGCUUUUCUUGCUUAACUACACGUAACUUUCUAGGGUGGGUUUUCAUUAUAACAUGAAUCUCUGCAAACAUUUUUAGGCACCAGCCAGCAAAGAUACAUACACUGUCUUCUCUUCUCCCUUUUGCACAGUGAUCUUGGUGGCACCCACUUUGGGGAGGGUUGGAUUUAUCACAUUGUUAUUCCAAAGAAACUUGACUUUCUCAAUUGUUCCAACAUCCAGCUUUGCAUCAAACUCAUAGGAAUGGGUUGAGCCUGGUUUGAGAAUCCCCCUUGAAAUAGAGAAACAUAAACAUCCCUGUUCACGGAAAUGAGUUCUAAUUACCAUACAAUGCCAGGCUGCUGUUUUCUCUUCUAGAUUAACAGGAUUAUUUUUCCGAAUUAAUUUCCAAAUAAAGGAUGGAGAAAUGGAAAAGCCAGCUAUAUGCUAGCACCUCAAACUAUGGUUUUUAAAACUCAAGUUAAUUUUUCCUUAAAGCUUUCUAAUAGAAAAUAAAAUAGAAUUCCUGCAUAUCAUUUUAUAUGUUUUGGAAGAAUUAUUUGUACAGUAACAAAUUGGCCACAUAGUAUGGCACAAUAAGCAUGUGUUAUUGCACUAAUCAGAAAACAGCAUAUCUGAAGUAAUAUUAGAUUUAUGUUUAAAAAAACAUCUAUUAAGAGAAAGAGGCCGGGCAUGGUGGCUCACGUCUGUAAUCCCAGCACUUUGAGAGGCCGAGAUGGGUGGAUCACUUGAGGUCAGAAGUUCGAGACCAGCCUGGCCAACAUGGCAAAACGCCCCCCAUCUCUACUAAAAAUACAAAAAUCAGCCAGGUGUGGUGGCACAUGCCUGUAAUCUCAGCUACUUGGGAGGCUGAGGCACGAGAAUUUCUUGAACCCGGGAGGCGGAGGUUGCAAUGAGCCAAGAUCGUGCCACUGCACUCCAGCCUGGGUGACAGAGCAAAGACUCUUUCUCAAAAAAAAAAAAAAAAAAAAAAAAGAGAGAGAAAGGACGAAAUGCCUAGGUUUAUAACAGAAAAGAAAAAUUAUUAGCAGAAGUCUGCAAUUAACAUCAGUACAUAAAGUUAUAUAGUCCUGCGUUGCUUAACAAUGGAGAUAUGUUCUGAGAAAUGUGUCCUUAGGUAAUUUAAUCAUUGUGUGGACAUCAUAGCAUGUACUCACACAAACGUAGAUGGCACAGCCUACUACAUACCUAGGCUGUAUGGUACAGCCUAUUGCUCCUAGGUUACAAACCUGUACUACAUGUUACUGUAUUGAGUUCUGUAGACAACUGGAACACAAUGGUAAGUAUUUGUGUAUCUAAACACCCAAACAUAGAAAAAGUACAGUAAAAAUAUGGUAUUACAAGCUUAUAAAGCAACUGUUGUGUAUGUGGUCCAUCAACUAAAAUGUUGUUACAUGUUGCAUGACUAUAAUUAAAAACCAGUGACAUAUAAAGAGAUGAUAAGUGUUCAAAUUAAGUGUGUGGUUUGAAGGCUGUGUAUAUCAUCAAAUGAGACGUAGUGUUAAAAUAGGAAAUUACCUGAAGAUACUGUACUGGUGAGUGUUUCCCUUAUUUCCAAACAAAGCAACUUUGAUCUGACCAGUGGCUGUUCUUCCAGACAGUGUGAUGGAAACCCCAUAUCUCCAGCCUGCACAGGAGAUGGAAGAGUUCAAUUUAUUCACACACAAAAUAAGUAGCCUACAUCCCAGACUUGUCUCCUUCUCUUACUCUGAGGCAACAAAGCAUAAGAAAUUCUUUUCUAAAAAAUUAUUAUUAUUAUUUUUUGAGAUGGGGUCUCACUCUGUCACCCAGGCUGGAGUGUAGUGGUGCAAUCUUGGCUCACUGCCACCUCUGCCUCCCAGGUUCAAGUAAUUCUUCUGCCUCAACCUCCCUAGUAGCUGGGACUACAGGCACACACCAUCACGCCUGGCUAAUUUUUGUAUUUUUAGUAGAGACAGAGUUUCGCCAUGUUGGUCAAGCUGGUCUCCAACUCCUGACCUCAAGUGAUCCGCCCGUGUCCGCCUCCCAAAGUGAUGGGAAUACAGGCGUGAGCCACCACACCCAGCCAAAGUAUAAGAAAUUCUAUUUGUUAAUCUACAAAUCAAACAAGGCCUUAUGGAGAAGUAUGUAUUUAGCAGUAUCCCCCUCUAGAACUGCAUUGCCCAGGGAGGAGGUCACCAGCCACAUGUGGCUGCUUACAUUUAAAUCCAAAUUAAAUACAAUUAAAAAUUUAGUUUCUCAAACUCAUUCGCUGUGUUGCAAAUGUUAAGUUGCCACAUGAGGCUAAUGGCUACACAGAAUAUGCCCCUCAUUGCAGAAAGUUCUGUUAGCCAGCUCUGCCCCAGAAUGGCAGUACAGUAAGGUAAGGUGAAGAGAGAGGGAAUAGGGGCUUGUCUCCACAUUUGGGAAGGUAGCUCGGGAGUGCAGCCUGGCAAGCACCUCGAGGGCGGGGACUGUGUUUCCUCUCUGCUCCCCAGGGCCCUGGGCAGUCUCUAGCACAGAGCAGGUGCACGAGCAGCUGUCACUUAGGCUUCUACCUGAAAUGCUGUCCCAGGGCCUGCAUGCACACGCACACAAAUACAAAUACAUAUACACAAACAUAUGCAUGUGCGUGCACACACACAAAUACAUAUACACAAACAUAUGCAUGUGCACACACAAUACAUAUACACAAACAUGCAUGUGCGUGCACAUACACAAAUACAUAUACACAACAUGUGCAUGUGCACACACACAUACAUCUACACAAACAUGCAUGUGUAUGUGCACACACACACAAACCUACACACAUUUAACCACGCACAUACAUAGACACCCACAUACAAAUAUACAUACACAUGCACAUACAUAUACAUAAACAUACAGACUCAUAUACAUACGUAUAUAAACACAUGCAUACACACAAAGGUACAUACACAAACACACUCACACAUGCAUUCAUACACCCACACAUGUGCACAGAUGUACAUUAAUAUACACAGACAUGAUUCUUGCCUAACUCCUAUUCAUCUUUCGUGUCUUCAGAGACCUUGACCCUGACCCUCCUUCUGGUCAGGGCCAGGUUCUCUGUCCCAUAAUGUCAUGGCAACAGCCACCAAGCCCAACACGCUUGUAGUUGCUUGCCCAGUUUCUGUCUUUGGCUGGAUUAUUAAUUUCAUGAGAGGAGUCUCUUGUUCGUCCCUGCAUCCUCAGUGUCUAGCAUAGUCUGUGGCCCAUAAAUAAAUGUUGAUUGAGGAAUGAAUACCUGGUUUUUGAGUGUUUAAUUUGUUGUUGAAAUAUUGGCAAGUAUUUCAUGCAUCACAACAUCAGUGGAAGGAUUGAUUAAUCAAUGUCUUCUUACAAAAAAAAUACACAGAGUGGGCCGGGUGCGGUGGCUCACGCCUGUAAUCCCGGCACUUUGGGAGGCCGAGGCAGGCGGAUCACAAGGUCAGGAGAUCGAGACCAUCCUGGCUAACAUGGUGAAACCCCGUCUCUACUAAAAAUGUAAAAAAAAAAUUAGCCUGGCAUGGUGGCGGGCGCCUGUAGUCCCAGCUACUCGGGAGGCUGAGGCAGGAGAAUGGCGUGAACCCGGGAGGGGGAGGUUGUAGUGAGCCAAGAUUGCGCCUCUGCACUCCAGCCUGGGCGACACAGCGAGACUCCGUCUC
rnacentral:lncRNA from 1 species